UACGUAGGGGGCAAGCGUUGUCCGGAUUUAUUGGGCGUAAAGAGCGUGUAGGCGGCUAGAUAGGUCCGUUGUGAAAACUCGAGGCUCAACCUCGAGACGUCGAUGGAAACCAUCUGGCUAGAGUCCGGAAGAGGAGAGUGGAAUUCCUGGUGUAGCGGUGAAAUGCGCAGAUAUCAGGAAGAACACCCGUGGCGAAGGCGGCUCUCUGGUAGGUGACUGACGCUGAGACGCGAAAGCGUGGGGAGCAAACAGG
rnacentral:rRNA from 1 species